GGCGAACGCUGGCGGCGCGCCUAACACAUGCAAGUCGAGCGGAGAUAUUUGAAGGAAGUUUUCGGAUGGAAUUUGGGUAUUUUAGCGGCGGACGGGUGAGUAACGCGUGAGUGACCUGCCUUCCACAGGGGGAUAACGUACCGAAAGGUACACUAAUACCGCAUGAGACCACAGCACUGCCUGGUGCAGGGGUCAACGGAGCAAUCCGGUGGAAGAUGGACUCGCGUCCGAUUAGAUAGUUGGUGGGGUAACGGCCUACCAAGUCAGCGAUCGGUAGCCGACCUGAGAGGGUGAUCGGCCACAUUGGAACUGAGAGACGGUCCAAACUCCUACGGGAGGCAGCAGUGGGGAAUAUUGGGCAAUGGGGGAAACCCUGACCCAGCGACGCCGCGUGAGGGAAGAAGGUUUUCGGAUUGUAAACCUCUGUUCUUGGUGAAGAGGGAAAGACGGUAGCCAAGGAGGAAGCCCCGGCUAACUACGUGCCAGCCGCCGCAGUAA
rnacentral:rRNA from 1 species